UCAGGGCGACAGGCUUAAGGGGCCUGCAGGGCAGGGCCCAGUUUCUGGUCAAAAUGGCAGCGCCCAGCGUGCACGGAUGGCUUUGCGGUGGGGGGUUGCCGUCCUCCCCGUGAGAGCGAGCGGGCCUGCUGCGCUUCUGAGUUUGAAACGCCUGCAGUCUGGGUUUCCGGGGUGAGCGGUGGGGAGGGAGAAAUUGCAAGACUCUAGAGUCUGAGACUCAUCAAAUGGUUCCAUUUUGCCUUCAGUUCUCUACGGAUUCCCUGUCAUUGCUGCGCUCUGCCAGAAGUCUGUCCUCUGGAAGGGACCGCAGCACCUGCCUUACCUGGGGUUAAGACAGUCACAGUCUGUUCCCUCAGCCUGCCUUCCACGAAAGUUGGCGCCCUCCUACAGCGCAUCCAGUUUUCCUGCUGGUAAAAUCCUUAUUCCUUCCCCACCAUGUGGCAGAAGCAUGUCCUCCUGUCGCACUGUGGAUACUCCCUCAGAAUCUGUGAGAAGAAGCUCCCACGAUGGCUUGUUCAGGUCUCCGGAGGGUGGCCCACGCGAGUACGUACCUGAUGAGAAUGGUCGGCACCGCCUCCAGAUGCCGUCAGCGCUGGGCCUCGGGCACAAGGCCUGAUGCUUCUGAGUGCACUGCCCGGGGAGCUGCAGGUGGCGUGGUGGAGCUGCUGGGCCAAGCCUACCCACGGGAUGACCACACCAACCUCACCAGGAAAGUCCUCUCCAAGGUCGGUAGGAAUCUGCACAACCAGCGGCAUCACCCGCUGUGGCUGAUCAAGGAGAGGGUGAAGGAGCACUUCUACAAACAGUACAUGGGCCGCUUUGGGACCCCGCUGUUCUCUGUCUACGACAACCUUCCUCCAGUGGUCACAACCUGGCAGAACUUUGACAGCCUGCUUAUUGCUGCCGACCACCCCAGCAGGAAGAAGGGGGACAACUACUACCUGAACCGGACGCACAUGCUGCGGGCACACACGUCGGCGCACCAGUGGGACCUGGUGCACUCGGGGCUGGAUUCCUUUCUGGUGGUGGGCGACGUAUACCGGCGCGACCAGAUCGAUGCCCAGCACUACCCUGUGUUCCACCAGCUGGAGGCUGUCCGGCUCUUCUCCAGGCACGAGUUAUUUGCUGGCGUAAAGGAUGGAGAAAGCCUGCAGCUCUUUGAACAAAGUUCUCGCUCAGCCCAUAAACAAGAGACACACACUAUGGAGGCCAUGAAGCUGGUAGAGUUUGACCUCAAACAGACACUUACCAGACUUGUGACACAUCUUUUUGGAGAUGGGCUGGAGAUAAGAUGGGUAGACUGCUACUUUCCUUUUACUCACCCGUCCUUUGAGAUGGAGAUCAACUUCCAUGGAGAAUGGCUGGAAGUUCUCGGCUGUGGAGUGAUGGAACAGCAGCUGGUGAAUUCAGCUGGUGCUCAAGAGAAAAUUGGCUGGGCCUUUGGUCUGGGAUUAGAAAGGCUGGCCAUGAUCCUCUAUGAUAUCCCUGAUAUCCGCCUGUUCUGGAGCGAGGACGAGCGGUUCCUGAAGCAGUUCCAUGUGUCUGAUAUCAACCAGACCGUGAAAUUUCAGUCCAGUUUCUUGGACUAUUUGCUCAGCAUACUGAUUGAAUAAAUACGGUGAAAGGAUACAACCCUGACACACACCUUUCCUGACUUUAAGGUACUUCCUUUAUUCACCAUAAUAUUUUUGCCAUUAUUUUAUCAUUAAAUGUUUCAAAGAAUUUACCAGGUUUGUUAUCUGGGCUUAGAGUUUUCUUUGUGGGGAGGAUUUUAUUUAUUACAUAAAUUUUUUUUUUUUAAACAAGCAUAAGACUAUGUGUAUUUUCUACUUCUUCCUAUGUCAGUUUUGGAAUGUUGUGUUGUUCAAGGAAUUGCCUAUUUUGUCUAAGUGAUGAAAUUUAUUGAUGUAAAGUUAUUUAUAAUAUUCUGUGUAUUAGUUUCCUAGGGCUGCUGUAACAAAUUACCAGAAACUAGGUGGCUUAAAACAACAAUUAUGUAUUGCUUCAGUUCUGGAAAGUACAAGUUUGAAUUCAGGAGGUCAGCAGAGUCAUACGCUCUCCAAAGACUCAAGGGUUGGAAAAGUGAAAGAAAAAAGAAACUACAAUCAAAUAUUGAAGUAAAUGCUCUCCAUAUUUGAAUACUUGGAAGAUUUUUCUGUCUUGAUUUUGGUGGAAAUGUGAGGAAAUGAGAAGAGAGUUUGCUAUUGAAAGUUGGUGUGCCUCAUUUACUUCAGGCUUCCACAGUCUUGAAUAUAUGGUGCCCUUUCAACAUUCUGGUGGAAUAAUAAAAACUAUAAUCUUGUCUUUUUUUUCACUCUUCUGGGCUUAUAUUUGCAUAUUUAACGUGGUAUUACCAUAACGUUUGUUUCUUCUAAAGAUAACUUCAGUUGCCCUCUCCCAGAUGAUGGACGUUUCUAGUUUGUAAAAUUUUUUUUCUUCUCACCCAGUUUCCCAAUUAGCACCUUGUUAGCUGCACACCUGCUGCGCCAAAAAUCAUAUUGUGCUUUUUAACCUUUUUCAGGAAAAAAGAGAGAAUAAAAAACAUACUAUUUAUCUGUUAAUUUACCCUCAAAGGAAGUGAUGUCUCUGGCCGUGAAGCCUCCAUGUCACUGCUGGUUGGGAGAACCUGCCCAGAUUAUUUAAUAGAUUCUAGAAAUAGAAGGAGAAAGCUGAUUGACAGGCCCCUGGAACCAGGGAGAACAUCCACACAAUCACAGAAGCUAUGUGCACACUUCCAGCUCCAGAUCACAGAGAUGAUGCCUGAUGAGUGAACUGCUCCUCCGUCGGUUCCUGUGCAUUUCUCUAAGGAAGAGGACAGAGGCGCUGCCAUCACUAUGCUACUCUGCAGUAAUGUUCACUCACCAUCUCGUUCUGUGAUUAGCUUUAUUUCCUAUCAUAGAAGAAAUAAGUAGAUUCCCUGGCUGCUUCAUUUACAGAUUUUUCAUCAAGACACAAUAACUUUACAAUUAAAUGGUUAUUCAUUUAUUAUACUUACUUUCACAUACUGCAUCUAUUAAAGGCAAAUAUGCAGCCAUUAGUAUGUAAAUUGAACUUGGGCCCUGAACAAAUGAGGUGGAGCCUCAAACAUUAUUAAUUGAGUAAUUAGUUUCAGUGUAAUGAGAGAAGAGCCAAUAGGAAUGUAUGAAACUGUGCGUGGUGGGCCUGUCGACUUCAUUUUGGUCUGGCUUAAUUCAUUUCUGUUUUGUGACAUACAAGAGCCCUGGUGGCACAGUAGCUAAAGCGCUUGGCUGCUAACUGAAAGGUCAGAAGAUCAAACCCACCAGCUGUUCCUUGGGAGAAAGAUGUGGCAGCUAGCUUACAUAAAAAUUACAGCCUUGGAAACCCUACAGGGCAGUUCUUCUCUGUCCUACUGGGUCACUAUAAACCAGAAUCUACUCGACAGCAAUGGGUGUGGUUUUGAUUGGUGACAUUUGGGUGAAAUACCUUCAUUUCAAGAUGAUUUGCAUACUUUCUUAGCUAUUAAAUAUGCAUAGACAAUUUAAUGGAAAAAUUGUUGAAAAAGCCUCCCAGAAAUGCAUAGAGAGUCCUCCCCCUCUGAAGCAACAGAGGUUGAAAAGAAGACACAGUGAGACCUCAGGUAGGGCUCUCCAGGCUUGACGCUCUGGGAGACCUCUGGUUCCAAUGCGUCGUCUUCUCACCAUCAUCAUUGCCUCCUGACCACCCUUCCACGUCCCCAGGUGACUCAGGCGCCUGAAUGGGUUUUCUCUCCACCAUUCUAGGAGCAAUGCCAAGGGACUUGGCCUCCUGCAGUGCGGGAGUUUUUGAUUGUGUAGCAGUGAGCAUUGGUGUACAAGUACCUGUUUUCCUGCUUUCAAGUCUUCUAGGUAUAUACCCAGGAAUGGAAUUGCUGGGCCAUAUGGUAAUUGGGUCUCUGUGAGUCAGAAUUGACUCUAUGGCACUGGGUUUUUGGUUUGGGUUAUGGUAAUUCUGUGUUUAACUUUUGAGGAAGUACCAAACUAUUUUCCACAGGGACUACACCCUUUUACAUUCCCACCAGCAAUGAAGAGGGUUCCAAUUUCUCCACAUCCUCACAACACUUGUUAUUUUCUUUUUUGAUAAUAACCACCCAGGUGGGUGUGAAGUUGCAUUUCAUUGUGGUUUUGAUUUGCAUUUCCCUAAUGACAUUGAAAGAAGCCCUGGUAGCUCAGUGGUUAAGCACUCAGCUGCUAACAAAAGGUCAGCAGUUCACAUCCACCAGUGGCUCCAUGGGAGAAAGAUGUGGCAGUCUGCCUCCAUAAAGAUUAAAACCCAACCAUAAAGAUUACAGCCUUGGAAAUCCUAUAGGGCAGUUCUACUCUGUCCUCUAUGGUUGCUGUGAGUCAGAAUUGACUUGACAGCACACAACAAUAAUGACACUAAGCAUCUUCUCGUGUGCUUCUUGGCCUUUUGUAUAUCUUUUUUGGAGAAAUGCCUCUUUAAGUUUGUUGCCCAUGAAAAAGAACAAUCUCCAGGAAGUAUUACUGAGGGAAAAAAAUUUUUUUAAAUAUGGAGCAGUAAAUAUAGUAUGCCCCCAUGUGGAUUUAAAAACAUAUCUAUGCAUUCACAGAAAAUCCCUAGAGAAAUACAAAAGAAACUGUUAACAGUGGUUCAUCUGGGGAGGGGGGACCAGUGGACCAGCUUAUAAGGGUGACAUGAUUUAUAUUUCAUACCCUUUUAUAACAUUUGAAUUAUUUACCAUAUGCAUGUAUUACAUUCUUGGCUGUUUUAUACUCGAUGUAACUUUUUGUAAAUUUUAAUUUUCACAAAAAUUCAAACUUACAGAAAAGCUCCAAGAAUGGUACAAGAAAUACUCAAAUACCCUUUCCUCAGAUUCACCGAUUAUUUGAAUGUAUGUCUGUAUAUAUGUAAGGAGCCCUGGUGGCACGGUGGUUAAGGCACAGCUGCUAACUGAAAGGUUCAGAUCCCACCUCUGCCAUGAACUACAUGUGAGAUUUCUCUGAGCCUGUUUUCUCAUCUGUAAAAUGGGAAUAAUAUUAGUCUCAACCUUUUUUUUUUUUAUAGGAUAAGCAUGUAAAGAGUAAUGAGUUAAACACAUGAAAUCCUUAGCACAGUGGCUGACAGAGAGUACACACUCAAUAGAGCUUGGUAACUAUAGAUGUGUCUAUAUGAGUAUAUAAAAUAAAUGCUUUAAAUAUAUUUAAAUGAUGAUAUCAAAUGCUUGUGUAUAAAAACUUUCUCUUCUCUGUUAGAGUUACUCUCUGUACUUAAACAUAGCAAAUUAUAGAUAACAUUGCGAAGAAUGGGAAUUCCAGAACACUUAAUUGUGCUCAUGAGGAACCAGUACUUAGACCAAGAAACAGUUGUUUGAACAGAACAAGGGAAUACUGUGUGGUUUAAAGUCAGGAAAGGUAUGCAUCAGGGUUGUAUGCUUUCACCAUACCUAUUCAAUAUGUAUGCUGAGCAAAUAAUCCAAGAAGCUGGACUAUAUGAAGAAGAACGGGGCAUCAAGAUUGGAGGAAGACUCAUAAACAACCAGCAAUAUGUAGGUGAUACAACCUUGCUUGCUGAAAGUGAAGAGGACUUGAAGCACUUAUUGAUGAAGAUCAAAGACCACAGCCUUCAGUAUGAAUUACAUCUCAACAGAAAGAAAACAAAAAUCCCCACAACUGGGCCACUAAGCAACAUCCUGGUAAGUGGAGACAAGAUUGAAGUUGUCAAGGAUUUCAUUUUAGUUGGAUCCGCAGUCAACACCCGUGGAAGCAGCAGUCAAGAAAUCAGAUAUGCAUUGCAUUAUACAGUGUUCAAAAGUAAAGAUGUCACUUUAAGGACUAAGAUGUUCCUGACCCAAGCCAUGGUGUUUUCAGUCAUGUCAUAAGCAUGUGAAAGCUGGACAAUGAAUAAGGAACCCCCCAGAAGAAUUGAUGCCUUUGAAUUAUGGUGUUGGCGAAGAAUACUGAAUAUACCAUGGACUCACAGAAGAGCAAACAAUUCUAUAUUGGAGGAAAUACAGCCAUGAUGCUCAUUAGAAUCAAGGAUGGCGAGAUGUCAUCUCACAUAUUUUGGAUAUGUUAUCAGGAGGGAUCAGUCCCUGAAGAAGGAUGUAAUGCUUGUUAAAAUGGAGGGCCAGCAAAAGCGAGGAAGACCCCGGAUGAGAUGGAUUGACACAGUGGCUGUAACAAUGGGCCCAAACAUAGUAAUGUUGUGAGGAUGGCGCAGGACUGGGCAGUGUUUUAUUAUGUUUACAUAGGGUCACUAUGAAUCGGAAUCAGCUCAACAGUGCCUAACAAAAACAAUAUGUACUUAAAUGUACUCUAUGUAAGUGCAAAUGUACCAAAAAUAUUUUUCACAACUCUUAGUUUUUAUCACAAUGGCUUUCCCCACAAAUAGGAUAAAUAAUGAAAUUUUAAUGCCUGUUGUCUGGGUUCAGAAGAAGGAUGGGUUCAGAAGAAGGACUGAGAUAUUUUUCAAAACUCCAAACCACUAUUGUUGUUUUGCCAUUUGAACAUGCUUUACAUUCUAUCUGGAGGAAGGUGUGCUCCUGAGAGUCUGUGACCAGCAGCUUAAGCCUUGUUGAGUCAAUGACGAUUCCUUUUUGGUGGUCUCUUUUCUAUAAACAGAUAAGCAAUCACCCACCAUGACAACACUGUUACUUGAUGAUGCAAGUAAGACUCACAAACCUGCAAAUCUGUUUAAAAAUAAGUGGAUAAUGUAUACAUCUAUCAAAACCCAUAAAUUUAUGCAUUUCACUGAAUGCAAAUUUUACAAAAAAGACUAAAAAAUAUUUACAUAGAUUUAAAAAUAUAUAUAUAUUAUCCUCCCAUUUGGGCCCAAGUAUUCAUCCUAUCCUGCUUUGUCUUUUUCUGCCAUUAGUUUCUUCUCCUUUUUCUUUGUCAGGAGGUUGGGCCCAUAGGACAAAAGAGAAGAAGGUAAAGUUGAAGGUACAUUUGGCUCUCUGGCUCUAUUUUCCAUUUGAAGUAACUGAGGCUCCAAGGCGUAUUUACUAUACUGUAGCCUAGUACAGAAACCAAUCACCCCAUCCUAACAGCUUCAACCCCGUUUCACCCCACCUAAAGCUCAUUCUUAUCCAGAUACCAAAGUGACCAGCAACAGCAUCCCCUGUAUGGCUGUGCAGCCUCACUCUCCUUUCUCUCUGAAGUCGGGGUAGUAUCUCCCCUACUUACAUCACAGAAGUAACUGAGAUCUUGCAUAUGAAAUAAUUUUAUGUACUGGGACAGUACUGAACAGAGCUAUCAAGAUAUGUUAUCAUUAUGCCUCCAGAGACCUUUAUUCAUGAUGUGAAGGUUAGGAAAGCCAGGAGAGAGCCUUGUCCUCCCCAUUCCAAAUAGUCUGGUUCACUUCCAAUUGGAGCACUAGUUUCUUUCUGGCAUUGGUGGUUCAGUGGUAGAAUUCUCGCCUCCCAUGCAGGAGACCGGGGUUUGAUUCCUGGCCAAUCCUUCUCAUGUAUAGCCACUACCCAUUUGUCAGUAGAGGUUUGUCUGUUGCUAUUAUGCUGAACAGAUUUCAGCAGAGCUUCUAAGCUAAAAUGGACUAGGAAGAAAAACUUGGCAACCUGCUUCCAAAAAUCAGCCAGUGAAAACCCUGUGGAUCACAACAGUCCGACCCCCUAGUGAUCAUAGGGAUUUUGCUGGACCAGGCAGUGUUUCCUUCUGUUAUGCAUGAGAUUCUCCGUGAGUCAGGGGCCCACUCGGUGGCAGCUAACAACAACAAAAGUUAUAGAGAUAAAUGUCAAUAUGUAAAAUUAGUAGUAUAGAUAGCCAAAUGCCACACUUGUUUAGUGUAAAGGUAAACAAAACUGUUAGGAAAGUUAUAUAAUCAUGGGUUGUAGAAAGUUAUCACUCUCUGUAUGUAGAAUCAUCAAGAACUUGGAAGCACAGCAACGUGACAGAGUUUACGAGAAGGCAUGGUUUUACUUUGAAGUUUUCAGCCUGAGAGUGUGCAGGAAGAGGGCAAAGGGCUUUUUCAUCACCACACUGGCAACAUCGCUACUUACUCUCCAUUCAUUGAGAGCCCAGUGGGGUGGAUCCCCUUCUGAACUUAAAAAUGGGGUGGAUCCCGGUAUGAGCCCAGCUCUGGGGUGGGUCCCAGUCUGAAUUUAGCAGUGGGGUGGAUCCCAGUGUGAGCCCUGUCCUAGAAUGGAUCCUGGUGUGAGUCCUGCUCUGGGGUAGAUCUGGUGUGAGACCUGCCCUAGGGUAGAUCCUGCCUUAGAGAGAACCCUGUAUUGCUAGAGAAAAGCCACACAAGAGAAACAGUUUCAAGGGCAUUUAAGUGCUCUCUUGACUAGGAGUGCAAAAGAAAGUAAAAAAUAAGAGUGAGAGAAAUGGGAGUAGACCAUAGUAGGCAAAAAAAAAGAUAUUCAGAAAGCUUUUAUACUGGCUUUAUUUUGCUUAAAAAAAAAAAAAAAAAAUCAGCCUGCCAGUGCUACUGCUGAAGCAGUGGCCAGUAUUGUUGCUGAAUGUCCUCCCACAAGGUGCCAUAACUCUCCCAGUGGCAUGCAGGCAGAAUUACCCAGCCAGGUGUGUGCAAGCCUGGGUGUGCUUGCUGACUGCAGCUCCAGGUCCCUCCUCCAGCUGACAGCUGCACUGUGAAACCUGCUGCUGUCCAGCUGCCAGGGAGGAAGAGGGGAGAAUGGAGGCUGGGCGGGUGGCCCUGUGUGGGGGGCAGGUGGGGACUUUCUUCCCAGUGCACUUUCUGUUGUUUUUAAUUUUACAUUCUUUUUUUCUUAAUUCUUAUUUUGCUUUAAAUGAAAGUUUACAAAUAAAGUCAGUCUCUUAUACAAAAAUUUAUAUACACCUUGCUAUAUGUUCCUAAUUGCACUCCCCCUAAUGAGACAGCUCGCUCCUUCUCUCCACUCUCUCUUUUAGUGUCCAUUCCACCAGCUUCUAACCCCCUCUGCCCUCUCAUCUCCCCUCCAGAUAGGAGAUGCCAACAUAGUCUCAAGUGUCUACUUUAUCCAAGAAGCUCAUUCUUCACCAGCGUCUUUUUCUAUCCCCUUGUCCAGUCCAAUCCCUGUCUGAAGAGUUGACUUUGGGAAUGGUUCCUAUCCUGGGCUAACAGAAGGUCUGGGGGCCAUGACCACCAGGGUCCUUCUAGUCUCAGUCAGACCAUUAAGUCUGGUCUUUUUACAAGAAUUUGGGGUCUGCAUCCCACUGCUCUCCUGUUUCCUCAGAGUUUCUCUGUUGUGUUACCCGUCAGGGCAGUUAUCAUUUGUACCCAGGCACCAUCUGGUUAUUCUGGUCUCAGGCUGUGUAGUUUCUGGUUCAUGUGGCCCUUUCUGUCUCUUGGGCUCCUAAUUAUCUUGUGUCCUUGGUGUUCUUCAUUCUCCUUUGGACUAGGUGAGUUGAGACCAAUUGAUGCAUCUUAGAUGGCCGCUUGCUAGUGGUUAAGACCCCAGAUGCUGUUCUCCAAAGUGGGAUGUAGAAUGUGUUCUUAAGAGAUUUUAUUAUGCCAGUUGACUUAGGUGUCUCCUGAAACCAUGGUCCCCAAAGCCCCACCCCUGCUACGCUGUCCUUCGAAGCAUUCAGUUUAUUCAGAAAACGUGUUUGCUUUUGGUUUAGUCCAGUUGUGCUGACCUUGCCUGUAUUGUGUGUUGUCUUUCCCUUCACCUAAAGUAGUUCUUAUCGACUAUUAGUGAAUACACCUCUCCCUCAUCUGUCCCUCCCUACCCCCUCAAGUGACCAUCAAAGAAUAUUUUCUUCUCUGUUUAAACUAUUUCUCGGGUUCCUAUAAUAGUGGUAUUAUACGAUAUUUGUCCUUUUGCAGCUGACUGAUUUCACACAGCAUAAUGCCUUCCAGAUUCCUCCAUGUUAUGAAAUGUUUCACGGAUUCAUCACUGCUCUUUAUCGAUGCACAGUAUUCCAUUGUGUGAAUAUACCAUAAUUUAUCCAUUCAUCCCUUGACGGUCACCUUCGUUGCUUCCAUCUUUUUGCUAUUGUAAAUAGUGCUGCAAUGAAUAUGGGUGUGCAUGUAUCUGUUCGUGUAAAGGCUCUUAUUUCUCUAGGAUAUAUUGCAAGGAGUGGGAUUGCUGGAUCAUAUGCAAGUUCUAUUUCUAGCUUUUUAAGGAAGCGCCAAAUCCAUUUCCAAGGUGGUUGUACCAUUUUACAUUCCCACCAGCAGUGUAUAAGUGUUCCAGUCUCUCCACAACCUCUCCAACAUUUAUUAUUCUGGUUUUUUUGAUUAAUGCCAACCUUGUUGGAGUGAGAUGGAAUCUCAUUGUAGUUUUGAUUUGGAUUUCUCUGAUGGCUAAUGACCGUGAGCAUUUCCUCCUGUAUCUGUUAGCUACCUGAAUGUCUUCUUUAGUGAAGUGUCUGUUCAUAUCUUUUGCCAAUUUUUUAAAAAUAAUUUUUAUUGUGCUUUAAGUGAAAGUUUACAAAUCAAGUCAGUCUGUCACAGAUAAGCUAAUAUACACCUUACUACAUAAUCCCACUUACUCUCCCCCUAAUGAGUCAGCCCGCUGCCUCCUUCCAGUCUCUCCUUUCGUGACCGUUUUGCCAGUUUCUAACCCUCUCUACCCUCCCAUCUCCUCUCCAGACAGGAGAUGCCAACACAGUCUCAAGUGUCCAUCUGAUACAAGUAGCUCACUCUUCAUCAGCAUCUCUCUCCUACCCACUGUCCAGUCCCUUCCAUGAUGGAUGAGUUGUCUUCGGGAAUGGUUCCUGUCCUGGGCCAACAGAAGGUUUGGGGACCAUGACCGCCGGGAUUCUUCUAGUCUCAGUCAGACCAUUAAGUCUGAUCUUUUUAUGAGAAUUUGGGGUCUGCAUGCCACUGUUCUCCUGCUCCCUCAGGAGUUCUCUGUUGUGCUCCCUGUCAGGGCAGUCAUCGAUUGUGGCCGGGCACCAUCUAGUUCUUCUGGUCUCAGGAUGAUGUAAGUCUCUAGUUCAUGUGGCCCUUUCUGUCUCUUGGGCUCUUAGUUAUCGUGUGACCUUGGUGUUCUUCAUUCUCCUUUGAUCCAGGUGGGUUGAGACCAAUUGAUGCAUCUUACAUGGCCGCUUGUUAGCAUUUAAGACCCCAGACGCCACACUUCAAAGUGUUUCACCCAUUUUUUAAUUGGGUUAUUUGUCUUUUUGUAGUUGAGUUUUUGUAGCAUCAUGUAGAUUUUAGAGAUCAGGCGUUGAUCAGAAAUGUCAUAGGUAAAAACUUUUUCCCAGUCUGUAGGUAAUCUUUUUACUCUUUUGGUGAACUCUUUGGAUGAGCAUAGGUGUUUGAUUUUUUUAGGAGCUCCCAGUUAUCUAGUUUUUCUUCUGCAUUGUUAGUACUGUUUUGUAUACUGUGUAUGCCAUGUAUUAGGACCCCUAACAUCGUCCCUAUUUUUUCUUCAUGACCUUUAUUGUUUUAGAUUUUAUAUUUAGGUCUUUGAUUCAUUUCGAGUUGUUUCAUUUUUUUGCGGAUGGAUAUCCAGUUAUGCCAGCACCAUUUGUUAAAAAACUAUCUUUUCCCCAUUUAACUGAUUUGGGGCCUUUGUCAAAUAUCAACUGCUUAUAUGUGGAUGGAUUUAUGUCUGGAUUCUCAAUUCUGUUCCAUUGGUCCAUGUAUCUGUUGUUGUAACAGUACCGGGCUGUUAUAAUAGGUUCUGAAAUCAGGUAGAGUGAGGCCUUCCACUUUGUUCUUCUUUUUCAGUAAUGCUUGACAUAUGUGGGGCCUUUUUCGCUUCCAUAUGAAGUUGGUGAUUUUGUUUCUCCAUCUCAUUAAAAAAUGUCGUUGGAAUUUGGAUCAGAAUUGCAUUAAAUCUAUAGAUCACUUUUGGUAGAAUAGAUGCUUUUACAACGUUAAGUCCUCCUAUGCUGAGCAAGGUAUGUUUUUCAACUGAUGUAGGUCUCUCUUGGUUUCUUGCAGAAGUGUACUGUAGUUUUCUUUGUAUAAGUCUUUUACAUCUCUGGUAAAAUUUAUUCCUAAGUAUUCUGUCUUUUGGGGGGCCACUGUAAAUGGUAUUGAUUUGGUGAUUUCCUCUUCGAUGUUCUUUUUGUUGGUGUAGAGGUAUCCAACGGAUUUUUGGAUAUUUAUCUUGUAUCCUGAUGCUCUGCUGAACUGUACUAUUAGUUUCAGUAGUUUUCUUGAGAAUUCCUGUGGGUUUUUUCUGUAUAAGAUCAUGUCAUCUCCAAAUAGAGAUACUUUUUUACUUUUUCCUUGCCAACCUGGAUGCCCUUUAUUUCUUUAUGUAGCCUAAUUGCUCCGGCUCGGACCCGCAGCGCAAUGUUGAAUAAGAGCAGUGAUAAAGGGCAUCCUUGUCUGGUUCCCAGUCUCAAGGGGAAUGCUUUCAGGCUCUCUCCAUUUAGGAUGAUGUUGGCUCUUGGCUUUGUAUAAAUACCCUUUAUUAUGUUGAGGAAUUUUCCUUCUAUUCCUCUUUUGCUGAGAGUUUUUAUCAUGAAUGGGUGUUGUACUUUGUCAAAUGCCUUUUCUGUAUCAAUUGAUAGAAUCAUGUGAUUCUUGUCUUUUACUUUAUUUAUGUGAUGGAUUACAUUAAUUGUUUUUCUAAUGUUGAACUAUCCCUGCAUACCUGGUAUGAAUCCCACUUGGUCAUGGUGAAUUAUUUUUUUGAUAUGUUAUUGAAUUCUAUUGGCUAGAAUUUUGUUGAGGAUUUCUGCAUCUCUGUUCAUGAGGGAUGUAGAUCUGUAAUUUUCUUUUUUUGUGGUGUCUUUACCUGGUUUUGGUAUCAGGGAUAUGCUGGCUUCCUAGAAUGCAUUUGGAAGUAUUCCGUCUUUUUCUGUGCUCUGAAAUACUUUUAGUAGUAGUGGUGUUUACUCUUCUCUGAAAGUUUAGUAGAACUCUGCAGUAAAGCUGUCAGGGCCAGGGCUUUUUUUGUUGGGAGUUUUUUUGAUUUUUCAAUGUCUUCUUUUGUUAUGGGUCUAUUUAGUUGCUCUACCUUUGCUUGUAUUAGUUUAGGUAGGUAGUGUGUUUCUAGGAAUUCAUCCAUUUCUUUUAGGUUUUCAAAUUUGUUAGAGUACAGUUUUUCAUUGUAAUCUGAUAUGCGUCUUUUAAUUUCAGUUGGUUCUGUUGUAAUGUUGCCCAUCUCAUUUCUUAUUCAGGUUAUUUGCUUCCACUCCUGUCUUUCUUUUCUCAGUUUGGCCAAUGGUUUAUCAAUUUUGUUGAUUUUUUUCAAAGAUCCAGCUUUUGGUCUUGUUAAUUCUUUCAGUUGCUUUUCUGUUUUCUCUUUCAUUUAGCUCUGCUCUAAUUUUUAUUAUUUGCUUUCUUCUGGUGCCUGAGUGUUUCUUUUGUUGCUCUCUUUCUAUUUGUUCAAGUCGUAGGGGUAAUUCUUGGAUUUUGGCCCUUUUUUUCUUUUUGUAUGUGUGCAUUUAUUGAAUAUAAGUUGACUUCUGAGCACUGCUUUCACUGUGUCCCAAAGGUUCUGACAGGAAGUGUUUUCAUUGGAUUCUAUGAAUUUCUUUAUUCCAUCCUUAAUGUCUUCUAUAAUCCAGUCUUUUUUGAGGAGGAUAUUGUUCAGUUUCCAAAUGUUUGAUUUCUUUUCCCUGCUUUUUUCUGUUAUUGAUUUCUACUUUUACGGCCUUAUAGUCAGAGAAGAUGCUUUGUAAUAUUUCAGUGUUUUAGAUUCUACUAAGUCUUGCUUUAUGACCUAAUAUGUGGUCUAUUCUAGAGAAUGUUCUAUGUGCACUAGAAAAGAAAGUAUACUUGGUUACUUUUGUGUGAAGUGUUCUAUAUAUGUUUAUGAGGUCAGGUGGGUUGUUUGUGGCAUUUAGAUCUUCGGUGUCUUUAUCGAGCUUCUUUAUGGAUGUCCUGUCUUUCACUGAAAGUGGUGUGUUGAAGUCUCCUACUGUUAUUGCGGAGCUGUCUAUCUCAUUUUUCAGUGCUGAUAGAGAUUGUUUUAUGUAUCUUUCAGCCCUGUCAUUGAGUGCAUAAAUAUUUAAUUUGGUUAUAUUCUCCUGGCAUAUUGUCCGUUUAAUCAGUAUAUAGUGUCCUUCCUUAUCCUUUGUGGUGGAUUUAACUUUAAAGUCUAUUUUGUCAGAAAUCAGUAUUGCCACUCCUACUAUUUUUGAUUGUUGUUUGCUUGAUGUAUUUUUUUCCAUCCUUUGAGUUUUGGUUUGUUUGUGUUUCUUAGUCUAAGGCGUGUCUCUUGUAGGCAGCAUAUUGACAGAUCAUGUUCUUUAAUCCAUUCUGGCACUCUCUGCCUCUUUAUUGGUGCAUUUAGUCCAUUUAAAAAAAAUUUUAGAUUCAGUGUAAUCGUGGAUAGGUAUGAAUUUAGUGGUAUCAUUUUGAUGUCUUUUUUUGUGUGUUUUUGGCAGUUUCUUUUUCCCCACUUAAUUUUUUGUACUGAGUAGAUUAUUUUUAUAUAUUGUCCUUUCCUCAUGUUCAUUGUUGUUGAUUUUGUUUCUCCUGAGUCUCUAUUUUUUUCCUGUAUUUUAUUUUGAUGUGUAGGAUAUUUUGUUUCCUUUCUGAUUACCUUAAUAUUUACCCCUAUUUUUCUAAAUUUAAACUUAACUUUUAUUUCUUCGUAUCGUCUUCUCUUCCUCUGCAAAGGAAAGGUCUAUGACUACAUUUCUUAAUCGCUCCUUAUUGUUUUACGGUUGUCUUCUUUUACAUAAUAACAUCGCUUUUGCCCUGUUUUGAGCGUUUUUUUACCUUGAUUUAUUUUUGUGAUUCCCCUGUCUGGGUUGACUUCUGAUUGUUCUGCCCAGUGUUUUGGUCUUGGGUUGAUACCUGAUAUUAUUGAUUUUUUAACUGAAGAACUCCCUUUAGUAUUUCUUGUAUGUUUGGUUUUUACAAAUUCCCUAAACUUCUGUUUGUCUGGAAAUGUCCUAAUUUCACCUUCAUAUUUGAGAGACAGUUUUGCUAGAUAUAUGAUUCUUGGCUGGCAAUUUUUUUCCUUCAAUUUUUUAUAUAUGUCAUCCCAUUGCCUUCUUGCCUGCAUUGUUUCUGCCGAGUAGUCCGAGCUUAUUUUUAUUGACUGUCAUUUGUAGGUGACUUUUCAUUUCUCCCUACCUGCUCUUAAAAUUCUCUCUUUAUCUUUGGUUUUGGCAAAUUUGAUUAUAGUAUUUCUUGGUGACUGUCUUUUAAAAUCUACCGUAUGUGGAGUUGAAUGAGCAUCUUGGAUAGAUAUCUUCUCAUCUUUCAUGAUAUCAGGAAAGUUUUCUGCCAACAUAUCUUCAACAGUUGUCUCAGUUUUUUAUGUUGUCCCUCCCUGUUCUGGUACUCCAGUUACUCAUAGGUUAUUUCUCUUGAUAGAGUCCCACAUAAUUCUUAAGUUUUCUUCAUUUUUUAAAAUCUUUUAUCUGAUUUUUCUUCAAAUAUAUUCGUGCCAAGUGCUUUAUCUUCACACGUGCUCAAUUCUGGUCCUCUGACUUUCUAUCUUGUUAUCUAAUUCUGUAGUUUUGCUCUUAAUCUUCUGAAUUUCUGAUUGCUGUCUGUGUGUGGACUUUUCUAGCUCAUUAAAUUUUUCAUCAUGGUUCUGAGUAUCCUUUUUAAUGUCUUGAACUGCUUUAUCUGUGUGUUCCUUCUCUCGUUCUGCAGAUAACCUGAUUUUCUUCCUGAUGUCUUGAAGGGUUCUGUAUAUUAAUCUUUUGUAUUCUGUCUCUGGUAAUUUUAGGGAGGCACUUUCAUCUAGAAGAUCCCUUGAUUCUUUGUUUUGAGAGCUUGUUGAGGCAAUCAUGUUCUGUUUCCUUAUGUGAUUUGAUAUUUACUGUUGUCUCCGAGUGCUCUAUAAGUUAUUGUAUUUUAUUUUAUGUUUGCUUACUGUAUCCUAGCUCCUUGCUUUGUUUUGUUUUGAUAUGCCCAAAUGGGUUGCUUGAGUGAGCUAGCUUGAUUAUUUUUGCCUUUAGAGUCCUGGCGUCCUGUCCCCAGAUGACUAGAGCUGGUAUCAAGUAUAUGAGUCUAGAAGUCCAUUCACUUUUCCUGCAUAAAUUCAGCUCAGGUAUCCAGGUAGCUGAUCAUCAAGUAUGUGGUACCGGCUCAGUGCUACAGUUUUAGAGGGACAGGGGUGAUUGUCAUAGGUACCGGUAUCUGGUUGCAGCAGGGGGUAAUGGUCUGAACAAGGCAGGGGCUGAAAUCACCCCCUGUCUCUGAGGAAAGCGUGUGUACUCCCUGGAGUGUACAGGUGGGUAAGUUCUGCAGACUCACCGUGGGCACCCAAUGCUUUUGGUUGUAAGGACUGGGAGGUAGCAGUUAUCCUUGAACCCCUGUCACGGGUAUCUGGGUGACCUGAGUGAAGCUGCCAGUCCUUAGGCCGCUGAUGUGUAUAGGUGAGGAUCCUGUUUUACAGCCAAAGCGGUGUGAAACAUCCAACACCCACCUCUCCACCACACAGCUGAAACAGUUGCAGCCUGCCAACCAGGGCCUAUUCUCCUGAAAUAGGCCGACACAGGUCCAUGCAGAGGGGAAGGGUACUCAAAUACCAUGGACCAUUUAUAUCUGGACAGUAGCUGCUUCUGUCCUGAGCUCUCCCAGUUAGUGGAGCUGUCAAAUUAUCUUUUCCCCCAGUUGUGAAUUUAUUCCUUUUCCAAGGCAUGGAGGAUGGCUCUUGGUGCUCAUCGGGGCCUAUCUCAGGCCCAGGGAAAUCAACAACUGCUGAAGCCAGCUUAGGGACGGGGGUGCAGUAAAAUAUACGCAAGUACUUAGCUUUUGCCAAGAGCACCGUUCUCUGGUUCCGGAGGUAUGAGUAGGCUGUGUGGCUGGCUGCUUCUCCCUGAGGAAACUGCAGCCAAACGCUCCCACCAGCCCGCUGCAGCCACUUCCGGGAAUGGUGCCUGAGGGAUCUCGGCAAUUCAGGUCCAGUAGCUCCUCUCUGCUUCUGAACCAUCUCUUCCUCCCUCUGCCCCUUGGUUCAUUUUCUAAGCUUGCCUUUGAGGUUCAGGACUCUUGGCUUUUUAUAAAUAUACUCUUUUCACUUGUUUUUUCAGGUCUUUGUUGUAAGAGUGCUCACCAGAAGUGUCUGUCUAUUUCAGCACCUUGGUCCUGCCUCCUCCCCAGUAUACUUUCUAAAGUUAACACAAAAUGCAUCCAUUUCAGAUUUACUCCAGUAAGUCAGCAUCAGGGCCAGUUGCUCAUGUUAAUUACUAUUAAAAAAAAAUUGCUGUCUGACUCAAUUGAUUCUGACUCAGCAUCCCUAUAGGACAAAAUAGAACUGCUCCAAAAGGUUUGCAAAGAGCAGCUGGUAGAUUUGAACUACUGACCUUUUGGCUAGCAGCCAAAGGCUUAACCAGUACCCCAUGCACCACUGUAAAUAAUGACCAGCACGUACGAAGCACUUUGUCACUGUGCUAAGUGCUUUUCAUGCAUUUCGUAUAAUCUUUACAAUGGCAUCAUAAAGGUAGUACUAAAAGUAUCCCCAUUUUACAGAUGAGGAAACUGGGGUUUAGAGAAUUUCAGAAAUGUGUUCUCAGUUAUACAGCUAUUAGGUUGAACCAUAUGAAAUUGCCUUUUCUGGGGGGAAAAAAUCGAUUAUCAAUUUCAUAUAUUCCAGUCUGAUAAUUUGUGGCAGAGCCUUUGCUGCUGGCUGACUCUAAGCUUGAACAUGCAUGUCGUCGCAGAACUCAGCAGGGCUAGGAUAACUUUUAAUCUGAUAUCACCAAGUUGGAAAAAAUGGCCUCUACUGAUGUUAAAACAUAUAUAUAUAUAUGUGCUGUCUCUGAGAAAAAUAGGGAAGUUUUCCUUUAUGUUAAAAGUAUGAGGUUUGGAAUAUUGAACUUUCUGAUGUCAUUACUCAACAGUACAGCUCCGCUGUAUACAAAAUGCUGGUUUAUUUUUUCAAAGCAGAACAACCUGUGAAGCACACGUGGAGGUGCUUGAGGAUGAGUGCUUGCAUCCCUGGUGGUACAAAUGGUUAAUGUGCUCAGCUGCUAACCCAAAGCUUGAAGUUUGAGUCCACCCGUAGGUGCCUGGGAAGAAAGAGCUGGAGGUCUGCUGCCAAAAAUUGAGCCAUCGAAAACCCUAUGGAGCAGUUCUUCUCCGAUACACAUGGGGUCACUGUGAAUUGGAAUCAACUCGACAGCAACUGGUUUUAUUAAUGGACUCUAGGAAAUAAACAUGCUGUAUUGUCUGGUGAUUUCCAGCCCUUACUCGUCACUAGACCCGUGACUAAACAAACAUCAAUGCAUGAGUGUUCCCCACGCCCAACGCAUAAUUCUCAUGCUUAAAAUACAAUCAUUGUAAAAACAAAAAUGUUCAAAUAUGCCAGAUAUAUUCCUUGUCUUCCUUAGUGAUUAGAAUCUGUAAAAGGAAUGAAAUCAGAAUAAAGAAGAGUAUUUCUAGCUGAGGUUACAUUUUUGGUUAAGUCCCAGACUUCAGGAAAUGCAGUGCAGGCCACAAAUACUUAUUGAGUGCCCACUGCGGGUGCCUCCUGAGAAGAGGCCCUUUGCAGGACUUGCAGAAGAAUUAUAUAUGCUUAAAUAUGCCUGCUUGUUGGCCUCAGUUACUCCAUUUUAAUGGGGAUUUUGUGUGCAUGGCAGAGAAAUAUAGAUGCCACUGAAAUUAUUAAUAAAUCAAUGUGUUCAGGAGCAGUAGCCAGCACUCCCCCCUCUCCCGUAUUUACAAUUAGAUUUAUUUAUUUACCAUGUCCUUAUAUCAUGUUUACAGGCGUUGUUCUGUGAGCUUUAUGAAGACUGGCUUGUUUAAUCCUCAUAUAACUCUAUUGCAUAAAUCCUCAUAUAACUCUAUUGCAUAGAUACUGUUAAUAUCCCAGUCUUACCAAUCAGGAAACUGAGACCCAGAAGGUUAAACAGCAUUCCCAAGGCCACACAACUGUAGCGGGACGUGGGGAGCCAGGUUUUGAACUCCGGCAGUCUGUUUUAUCCUCCUAAAACAUGAUACACCUGGCAAUCUUUUCUUCCUCGCCCCAGUACAGAAAAAUAGCCAUUUUCACUGGGGAAAUCUGAAUUUGAUGUGUUCUCUUUUCCCUAAACGUGAGGCAUUUUGCAUUUAUUUCUUGAGGCAAUUAUUGCAGAGUGUUAAAUGGCGUUUUCGUUCAACUUGUGGUGGAAUUUAGAAGCAAAAAGAGGGAUAUUCCAGGAGAUAGCGCUACCAUUUCUAUUAAGGAAUAGCCACCAGCUGUAAGUUCCUACACACAGACACACAUACACAUACAUACAAAUAUACACCCACAUAUACAUAUGGACACACAUGUACCCACACACAUACACACAAACACCCACACACAGCCACCCCCACCCCCACCUCCCCCCACACACAUACCCACCACACCUUGGGUAUACAGAUGAGGCUGUGAGCAGACUGUGUUUCUGGAAGCCUGCAAUGCUAAGAAGUGAGUUUCCGCCCCUCUGGCUGUGGACACCACUCCAUAACCAGAAUUCUCCUUUCCUCCCCUGCUUUUCCUUUCAUGAACCCAACGUUCCAUGCUGUGAGAAAGAAAAAGCAGAAUUUACCAGACUCUGAAAGAGUUGGGCAAUUUUUGUAACAUCAUCACCUCCCCCCUUCCCCACUCCCACUACCGUGGAAACCAACCAGCCAACCUCUUAGUCUAACUUUUCAACAAACCUCAGCUGUCUGUACGUAUUCCAGCCAUUUCUUCAAGUUCUUGCAUCUCUCUGCACAGGAAUUUCAUGUAUUUUAAAAGAGGUUUUUAAAGCCUUUUUGAAGUAAACUCCUCUUUCUCUUCCUCUCUCCUCUCUCUCUUUCCCUCCCCCUCUCCCUCCCUUGUGUGUGCGUGUGUGUACGUGUGUGUGUGUACGUGUGUGUUUUAAAUGUAUCCUUUGGAGGAAAACCAUCUUAGGUUCUGUCAGGGGCACAUUUCUCCUUUAUCAGUGUGUUUUCUUUUCCCUUUCACAGACAUGUAUCGGCCCCCAGAUAGUAUUUAAUGAGGAGGUCUUUGAAAUAAGUGAAAACAAAAGCUACUGUAUGCCUCACCUGCAUUAAGAGCAGCUCCUCUGUAAAACGUAUAAUUAGAAAACCAGAGGGCUGUGUUUCCGCACGUGCCGAGCAUAGCUAGAUAUAGAUGGCGUUCAUAAAACCCUGCUUUCCAGUGCCGCCUUCUCUGAUCAGAAUAAGAAUUAGGUUACAUGGAAACGAAAUGACAAGAGGCAGCAGAGGGAGGAAAAAUGCAUUAUUAUUAUUGUAAUAUCCUUCCCAUCUUCUUUUUCAUACCAAAACAUGGUGCUAUAGAGCAUUGGAAACCCUGGUGGCGUAGUGGUUAAGUGCUAGCCAAAGGGUCGGCAGUUCAAAUCCACCAGGCGCUUCUUGGAAACUCUAUGGGGCAGUUCUACUCUGUCCCAUAGGGUCACUAUGAGUCGGAAUCGACUCGACGGCACUGGGUUUUAUAGAGCUUUAGGGAUAACUAUGUAUAAAAAGAAAGCAGAAUUGUGGGGGGGUAACUGUUUACUUUUUUGUAGAUGAAAAAAUAAAAAUGGUCCAUAUUUCUGUUUUAAAGACUGUGUGUCCUCAGGAUUGGCCCCGGUUGUAUUACAGCCCUAGAAGCCUGUUAUGUACAUUCUCUGUAAGCCACCAUGGUUGAGGAAUGGGCUCAGCCAAAAUGGGCAGCUAAUUGGGGGAUAUAUGACUCAAUCAUCGCCCAAUUUACAAGUGACUGAUAAAUAAGGGAACAAAAUGCACUUAAUAUAAAACCUCUAUUGACCGUAAUUAAAUUUGUAUUUCAUUGUUAUAGUAGCAUCUUACAGCACUUUAGGAUAUGUUUCAGUUAAAAAAGUGAAUUGCAUUUUUUUUUUUUAAUUAAAUGCAGUUUGUUCUCUUAUUUACCUGCUUGGUAGCUCUUUGACCUCUGUCGACUCAUCUCACCCUUUGGACCUCAUGUUCUUCAUUUGCGAAAUGGGAGUGUAAUGGUUCCUAAUUGAGGAACGUGUAAAGCAAUGAAUGUCAAAAUGUCCUAUACAUGUUAGAUUACUUUUUGGUACCCUGCUAUUACAGAUAUGGAGCCCUGGUGACACAGUAGUUAAGAGCUUGGCUGCUAACCAAAAGGUCAGCAGUUUGAAUCCACCAGCCACUCCUUGGAAAACCUAUGGGGCAGUUCUACUCUGUCCUUGCCUUAGUCAUCUAGUGCUGCUAUAACAGAAGUACUGCAAGUGGAUGCCUUUUUUUUUUUUUAAUUCUUAUUGUACUUUAAGUGAGAGUUUACAAAUCAAGUCACUCUCUCAUACAAAAAUUUAUACACACCAUGAUAUACACUCUUAAUUGCUCUCCCCGUAAUGAGACAGCUCGCUCCUUCCUUCCACUCUCUCUUUUUGUGUCCAUUCAUGCAGCUUCUGACCCCUCCUCUACCCUCUCCUUUCCCCUCCAGACGGGAGAUGCCAACACGGUCUCAUGUGUCUACUUCAUCCAAGAAGCACACUCUUCAACACUAUCAUUUUCUGUCCCAUUGUCCAGUCCAAUCCCUGUCUGAAGAGUUGGCUUUGGGAAUGGUUCCUUCCUUGGGGUACCAGAAGGUCUGGAGACCAUGACUACUGGAGUCCUAGUCUCAGUCAGACCAUUAAGUCUGGUCUUUUUAUGAGGAUUUGAGGUCUGUAUCCCACUGCUCUCCUACUCCUUCAGGGGUUGUGUUUCCUGUCACAGCAGUCAUCCGUUGUAGCCGGGCACCAUCUAGUUCUUCUGGUCUCAGGCUGAUGUAGUCUCUGGUUUAUGUGGCCCCUUCUGUCUCUUGGGCGCAUAUUUACCUUGUGCCUCUGGUGUUCUUCAUUCUCUUUUGGCCCAGGUGAGUUGAGACCAAUUAAUGCAUCUUAGAUGGCCACUUGCUAGUGUUUAAGACCUCAGACGCCUCUCUCCAUAAUGAGAUGAAGAAUGUUAUCUUCAUAGAUUUUAUUAUGCCACUUGACUGAGAUGUACCCUGAAACCAUAGUACCAAACCCCCACCCCUUCGAAGCGUUCAGUUUAUUCAGGAGACUGCUUUGCUUUUGGUUUAGUCCAGUUGUGCUGACCUCCUUUUACUGUGUGUUGUCUUUCCCUUCACCUAAAGUAGUUCUUAUCUACUAAUUAGUGAAAUCUCUCUCCUUCCCUCCUUCCUUCAUCUCAUAACCAUCAAAGAAUAUUUUCUUCUCUGUUUAAACUAUUUCUUGAGUUCUUAUAAUAGUGGUCUUAUACAAUAUUUGUCAUUUUGGAACUGCCUAAUUUCACUCAGCAUAAUGCCUUCCAGAUUCUUCCAUGUUAUGAAAUGUUUCAUAGAUUCAUCAUGUUCUUCAUGGAUGUGUAGAAUUCCAUUGUGUGAAUAUACCAUAAUUUAUUUAUCCAUUCAUCUGUUGAUGUGCACCUUGGUUGCUUCUAUCUUUUUGCUAUUGUAAACAGUGCCGCAAUGAACAUGGGUGUGCAUAUACCUGUUCGUGUAAAGGCUCUUAUUUCUCUAGGAUAUGUUGCAAGGAGUGGGAUUCCUGGAUCAUAUGCAAGUUCUAUUUCUAGCUUUUUAAGGAAGCGCCAAAUUGAUUUCUAAAGUGGUUGUACCAUUUUACAUGCCCACCAGCAAUGUAUAAGUGUUCCAGGCUCUCCACUACCUCUCCAACAUUUAUUGCUUUAUGUUUUUUUGGAUUGAUGCCAGCCUUGUUAGAGUGUGAUGGAAUCUCAUUGUAGUAUUGAUUUGGAUUUCUCUAAUGGCUAAUGAUCGUAAGCAUUUCCUCAUGUAUCUGUUAGCUACCUAAAUAUCUUCUUUAGUGAAGUGCCUGUUCAUAUAUUUUGCCCAUUUAUUAAUUGGGAUAUUUGUCUUUUUGCAGUUGAGUUUUUGCAGUAUCAUGUAGAUUUUAGAGAUCAGGCGUUGAUUGGAAAUGUCUUAGCUGAAAACGUUUUCCCAGUUUAUAGGUAAUCUUUUUACUGUUUUGGUGAAGUCUUUGGAUGAGCAUAGGUGUUUCAUUUUUAGGAGCUCCCAGUUAUCUAGUUUUUCUUCUGCAUUGUUAGUAAUGUUUUGUAUACUGUUUACACCAUGUGUUAGGGCUCCUAGCAUUGUCCCUGUUUUUUCUUACAUGAUCUUUAUCGUUUUAGAUUUUAUAGUUAGGUCUUUGAUCCACUUGGAGUUCGUUUUUGUGCAUGGUGUGAGGCAUGGGUCUUACUUCAUUUUUUUUGCAGAAGGAUAUCCACUUAUGCCACCACCAUUUGUUAAAAAGACUGUCUUUUCCCCAUUUAACUGACUUUGAGCCUUUGUCAAAUACCAACUGCUCAUAUGUGAAUGCAUUUAUGUCUGGAUUCUCAAUUCCGUUCCACUGGUCUAUGUAUCUGUUGUACCAGCACCAGGCUGUUUUGACUACUGUGGCAGUAUACAAAAAAAAAAAACAAACCAAACCCUGUGGCAAUAUAAUAGGUUCUAAAAUCAGGUAGUGUGAGGCCUUCCACUUUGUUCUUCUUUUUCAAUAAUGCUUUACUUAUCCGGGGCCUCUUUCCCUUCCAUAUCAAGUUGGUGAUUUGUUUCUCCAUCUUAUUAAAAAAUGUCGUUGGAAUUUGGAUCAGAAUUGCAUUGUAUUUGUAGAUGGUUUUGGUAGAAGAGACAUUUUUACAAUGUUAAGUCUUCCUAUCCAUGAGCAAGGUAUGUUUUUCCACUUCUGUAGAUCUCUUUUGGUUUCUUGCAGUAGUGUCUUGUAGUUUUCUUUGUAUAGGUCUUUUACAUCUCUGGUAAGAUUUAUUCCUAUGUAUUUUAUUUUCCUGGGGGCUACUGUAAAUGGUAUUGAUUUGGUGAUUUCCUCUUUGAUGUUCUUUUUGUUGGUAUAGAAGAAUCCCACUGAUUUUUGUAUGUUUAUCUUGUAUCCUGAUAUUCUUCAGAACUCUUCUAUUAGUUUCAGUAGUUUUCUUGAGAAUUCCUUAGGAUUUUCUUGUAUAAGAUCAUGUCAUCUGUAAAUAGAGAUACUUUUACUUCUUCCUUGCCAAUCUGUAUGCCCUUUAUUUCUUUAUCUAGCCUAAUUGCUCUGGCUAGGACCUCCAGCACAAGGUGGAAUAAGAGUAGUGAUAAAGGCAUCCUUGUCUGGUUCCCGAUCUCAAGGGGAAUGCUUUCAGACUCUUUCCAUUUAGGAUGAUGUUGGCUGUUGGCUUUGUAUAAAUGCCCAUUGUUAUGUUGAGGAAUUUUCCUUCUAUUCCUCUUUUGCUGAGAGUUUUUAUCAUGAAUGGGUGUUGAACCUUGUCAGAUGCCAUUUCUGUAUCAAUUGGUAAAAUCAUGUGAUUCUUGUCUUUUAUUUAUAUGGUGGAGUGUAUUGAUUGUUUUUCUAAUGUUGAACCAUCCCUGCAUACCUGAUAUGAAUCCCACUUGCUCAUGGUGAGUUAUUUUUUUGAUAUGUUGUUGAGUUCUAUUGGCUAGAAUUUUGUUGAGGAUUUUUACAUCUAAGUUUAUGAGGGAUAUCGGUCUGUAAUUUUCUUUUUUUGUGUGUGGUGUCUUUACCUGGUUUUGGUAUCAGGGAUAUGGUGGAUUCAUAAGAAUGAUUUUGGGUUUAUUCCGUUUUUUUUCUAUGCUUUGAAAUACUUUUAGUAGUAGCAGUGUUAACUCUUCUCUGAAAGUUUGUAGAACUCUGCAGUAAAGCCGUCUAGGCGAGGGGUUUUCUUUGUUGGGAGUUUUUUGAUUACCUUUUCAAUCUCUUCAUUUGUUAUGGAUCUAUUUAGUCGUUCUACAUCUGUUUGUGUUAGUUUAGGUAGGUAGUGUGUUUCUAGGAGUUCAUUUCUUCUAGGUUUUCAAAUUUGUCAGAGUACAGUUUUUCGUAGUAAUCUGAUGUGAUUCUUUUAAUUUCAGUUGGGUCUGUUGUAAUACCGCCCACCUCAUCUCUUAUUCGGGUUAUUUGGUUCCUCUCCUGUUUUUCUUUUGUCUGUUUGGCCAAUGGUUUAUCAAAUCUGUAAAUUUUUUUAGAGAACUAGGCUUUGGUGUUGCUUAUUCUUUCAAUUGUUUUUCUGUUUUCUAUUUCAUUUAAUUCUGCUCUAAUUUUUAUUAUUUGCUUUUUUCUGGUGUCUGAGGGCUUCUUUUGUUGCUCUCUUUCUAUUUGUUCAAGCUGUAGGGAUAAUUCUUUGAUUUUGGCCCUUUCUUCUUUUUGUAUGUAUGCGUUCAUUGAAUAUAAGUUGACUUCUGAGCACUGCUUUCGCUGUGUCCCAAAGGUUCUGAUAGGAAGUGUUUUCAUUCUCAUCGGAUUCUGUGAAUUUCUUUAUUCCAUCCUUAAUGUCUUCUACAACCCAGUCUUUUUUGAGCAGGUUAUUGUUCAGUUUCCAAGUGUUUGAUUUCUUUUCCCUGCUUUUUCUGUUAUUGAUUUCUACUUUUAUGUCCUUUUAGUCAGAGAAGAUACUUUGUUAUAUUUCAAUGUUUUAGAUUCUGUUAAGGCUUGCUUUAUGGCCUAAUAAACCAAAACCAAACUCACUGCUGUCCAGUUGAUUCUGACUCAUAGGAACCCUAUAGAACAGAGUAGAACUGCCCCGUAGAAUUUCCAAGGAGUGCCUAGUGGACUCGAACUAAUGACCUUUUGGUUAGUAGCCAUAGCACUGAACCACUACGCCACUAGGGUUUGCUUACAACCUAACAUGUGGUCUAUUCUAGAGAGUGUCCCGUACGUACGAGAAAAGAAAGUAUACUUAGCUGCUGUGGGGUGGAGUGUUCUGUAUAUGUCUAUAAAGUCAUAUGGGUUGAUUGUGGCAUUUAGAUCAUCCAUGUGUUUAUUGAGCUUCUUUCUGGAUGUCCUGUCCUUCACCAAAAGUGGUGUGUUGAAGCCUCCUACUAUAAUUGGGGAGUUGUCUGUCUCAUUUUUCAAUGCUGUUAGAGUUUGUUUUAUGUAUCUUGCAGCCCUGUCAUUGGGUGCAUAAAUAUUUAAUAUGGUUAUAUCUUCCUCGUAUAAUAAAAAAAAUUGUCCCUUUAAUCAUUAUAUAGUGUCCUUCCUUAUCCUUUGUGGUGGAUUUAACUUUAAAGUCUAUUUUGUCAGAAAUUAAUAUUGCCACUCCUAUUCUUUUUUGAUUAUUGUUUGCUUGAUGUAUUUUUUUCCCAUCCUUUGAGUUUUAGUUUGUUUGCGUCUCUAAGUUUAAGGUGUGAAUUUUGUAGGUCCCAUAUUCACAGAUCAUGUUUUUUUUAUCCAUUCUGCCACUCUCUGUCUCUUUAUUGGUGCAUUUAGCCCACUGACAUUCAGGGUAAUUAUGGAUAGGUUUUAUGAAUUUAGUGCUGUCAUUUUGAUGUCUUUUUUUGUGUGUUGUUGACAGUUUCUUUUUCCCACUUAAUUUUUUGUGCUGAAUAUUUUAUAUAUUGUCUAUUCCUCUUAUUCAUUGUUGUUGAUUUUGUUUCUCCUGAGUCUCUAUUUUUUUCUCGUGUUUUAUGUUGAUGAGUAGGAUAGGUAGCCUCCUUUGUGGUUACCUCAAUAUUUACCCCUAUUUUUCUAAGUUUAAACCUAACUUUUGUUUCUUUGUAUUGACUUGUCUUCCUCUCCAUAUGAAAGAUCUAUGACUACAUUUCUUAGACCCUCUUUCUUGUUUUAAUGAUGUCUUCUUUUACGUAAUAACAUCAUUGUUUCUCUGUUUUGAGCUUUUUUUUUUUUAUCUAGACUUAUUUUUGUGGUUUUCCUGUGUGGGUUGACCUCUAAUUGCUCUGUCCAAUGGUCUAGUCUUGGGUUGAUACCUGAUAUUCUUGAUUUUCUAACCAAAGAACUCCCUUUCGUGUUUCUUGUAGUUUUGGUUUGGUUUUUACAAAUUCUCUCUAGUUCUCUUUAUCUGGAAAUGUCCUAAUUUCACCUUCAUGUUUGAGAGACAGUUUUGCUGGAUAUAUGAUUUUUGGCUGUCAAGUUUUUUUCUUUAAUGCUUUAUAGUCAUCCCAUUGCCUUCUUGCCUGCGUGGUUUCUGCCGAGUUGUCUGAGCUUAUACUUAUUGACUCUCCUCUGUAGGUGACUUUUUGUUUAUCCCUAGCUGCUCUUAAAAUUCUCUCUUUAUGUUUGGUUUUCGCAAGUUUGGCAAGUUUGAUCUGCCUUAUGUGGAGUUCGAUGAGCGUCUUGGAUAGAUAUCUUCUCAUCUUUCACGAUAUCAGGGAAGUUUUCUGCCAACAAAUCUCUCUGUAUUUUGUGUUAUCCCUCCCUAUCCUGGUACUCCAAUCACUCAUAGGUUAUUUCUCUUGAAAGAGUCCCACAUGAUUCUUAAGGUUUCUUCAUUUUUUUUUUAAUUCUUUAUCUGAUUUUUCUUCACAUAUAUUGGUGCCAAGUGCUUUAUUUUCAUGCUCACUAAUUCUGCCUUCCACUUGCUCAGUUCUGCUCUUCUGAAUUUCUCGUUGCUGUCUCUAUGGAUUCUUGCAGCUUAUUAAAUUUUUUAUUAGGUUCUUGAAUAAUCUUUUUAAUUUCUUCAACUUUUUUAUCUGUGUGUUCCUUGGCUUGUUCUGCGUAUUGCCUGCCUGAUCUCCUUCCUAUGUUUUGAAGGGUUCUGUAUAUUAAUUGUUUGUAUUCCGCAUCUCGUAAUUCCAGGAAGGCACUUUCACUGAGAAGAUCCCUUGAUUCUUUGUUUUGAGACCUUGUUGAAACAUUCAUGGUCUGUAUCCUUAUCUGAUUUGAUAUUGACUGUUUUUUUUGUUGUUGUCUCCGGGCCAUGUAUAUGUUAUUAGUUUAUUUUUUUUUUUUACUGUAUUCUAGCUUCUUGCUUUGUUUUGUUUUGUUAUGCCGAAAUGGAUUGCAUGAGUGAGCUAGCUUGAUUAUUUUUGCCUUUGAAGCUGUGACGUCCUGUCAUCAGAUGUUUAGAGCUGUUAUUAGGUCUAUCAGUCUAGGAGUCCAUUCACUUUUCUUGUAUGGAUUCAGCUUAGGUGUCCAGGCAGCUGGUCAUUAAGUGCGAGGUACAGAGUCUGUCCUCCAGUCUUAGAGGGCCGAGGUGAUUGGUGUGGGUACCUGUAUCUCAUCACAGCAGGGGGUCAUGGUCUGAACAAGGCAGGGGGCUGAGAAUCGUCCCCCAAGUGUCUCUGAGGAAAGUGCGUCCUUCUUCCCUAAAGCGUACAGGUGGGUGGGUUCUGCAGACAGACCAUGAGCACCCAGUGCUUUUGGUUGUAAAGACUGGGAGGUACCAGUUAUCCUGGAACCCCUGUCACCGGUAUCUGGGUGACCUGAGUGGAGGCACAAGCCAUUAGGUCCCUGACGUGGGUAGGUGAGGACGCUGUUCAAUAGGCAAAGUGGUGUCAAUCAUCAAACACCCACCUCUCCACUUCACAGCGGAAACAGUUGCAGUCUGCCAGCAAGUGCCUAUUCUCCUGAAUUAGGCCCUCACAGCUCCAUGCAGGGGGGAAAGGUGUUCAGAGUUCAUGGACUGUUUAUAUGCCUGGACAGGAGCCGCUUCUGUCUGGAGUUCCCCAGGUCAGUGGAGCUGGCAAAUUUUCUUUUCCCUCAAUUGCGAAUUUAUUCCUUCUCCAAGGCCAGGAGAAUGGCUCCAGGCACUCAAUACGGACUAUCUCAGGCCCAGGGAAAUCAACAGCCUCUGAAGCUGGUGUGGGGGCGGGGGGCGCGGUAAAAUAUACACAAGUGCUUAGCUUUUGUGGAGAGCUCCGUUCUUCUGUGGUUCUAGAGGUGUGAGUAGGCUGUGCCGCUGGCUGCUUCUCCCUGAGGAAACUGCGGCCGAAUACUACCAGUAGCCUGCCGCAGCCAUUCCCAGGAAUGGUGCCUGAGGGAUCCCGGCGAUUCUGGUCUGGUAACUCCUCUCCGCUUCUGAACUGACUCGCCCUCCAGCUGAUGCUCAGUCCGUUUUCUAACUUUGCCUUUGAUGUUCAGGGUUCCUAGCUUGUUGUAAAUAUAAUCAUUUCACUUGUUUUUUCGGGUCUUUGUUGUAAGAGGGGUCACCGGAAGCAUACGGCUAUUCCACCGCCUUGGCCCUACUUUCACAAGUGGAUGGCAUUAACAAAGAAAAGUUUAUUGUCUCACAGUCUAGUAGCCUGUAAGUCCGAAUUCAGGGCACCAGCUCCAGGGGCAGCUUUCUCUCCCUGUCGACUCUGGAGGAAGAUCCCUUGUCAUCAGUCUUCCCCAGUGGAGGAGCUUCUCAGGCACAGGGACCCCAGGUCCAAAGGACAUGCUUUGUUCCCAGUGCUUCUUUCUUGGUGGUAUGAGGUCCCCAUGUCUCUCUGCUCACUUCUCUCUUUUAUAUCUCAAUAGAGUUUGGCUUAAGACGCUAUCUAAUCUUGUAGACCUCAUCAUUAUAACUGCUACUAAUCCAUCUUAUUACAUCAUAGCAAUAGGAUUUACAACACCAUAGGGAAAUCACAUCAGAAGAUAAAAUGGUAGACAAUCAUACAAGGGAAUAAUGACCUAGCCAAAUGGACAGCUAUUUUUGGGAGGACACAAUUCAGUCCAUGACUGUCCUGUAGAGUCACUAUGAUUUGGAAUUGACUAUGGCAAUGAGUUUAUUAUUAUUGUUAUUACCGAUAUGCAUAUUGAUGGCUAAUGGAAUUUAAGACUAAUAGGAUUUAUACCAACAGAGUUUAUUUUAAUUCAGGAGAUCCCAGGUUAGCAAUGUAAAGGUGGAAUCAUAAGCUAAUAGAUUUCUCUAAAUGAAAUAUUGUGUCCAAAAAUAUAAGGUUUGCAAACAUUAGAUUUGUUUUACAAAGUCUGUAUUGCUUAACCCAUGAUUACAAGUUUGAAUUCAGCUGGCUCCAGACGCAUCCUUUCCACCACAACAUUUCCCAUGCUAUGUUCCUUGCAAAAGAAAAUUUUAUGGCUAAAUUUGGAGACAUGGCUUCCCUUAUUUGGAGAUUCACAAGGCCCAUUAGUAUUUUUAAAGUUCUGAAAAGUCUUCCAGUAAGAAACCUGAACCAGCAUUUCCCAAACUUAUUUGACCAUGGAACCCUUUUGACCAUAGCAUCUAUUAAUAUUCUUCAGGUCUAAUGCACUAUAACACCUCAAGUUCAUGAGGUUUGGAGUUCCCUGUGUUCAAAUCCCACUCUGUGACCGUGGGUAAAUUCUUAACUCUGUAAGCCUCAAUGUUCUCAUUUGUAAAAAGGGACAAUAAUAUUUAUUUCAUAAACCAAAACCAAAUGAUUCUGACUCAUGGCGACCCCGGGUGUUACACAGUGAGUGGGUUCAAACCGCCAACCUUUAGGUUAGUAGUCAAGUGUACACCAUUUGUACCACCUAGGGACUGCCCUACUUAUCUCAUUGUUGUCAUGUGUCCUCAAGUCACUUCCGACUCAUAGCAAUCCCAUAUGACACAAUAGAACUUCCCUAUAGGGUUUCCUUGGAAACCCUGAUGGCCUAAUGGUUAAGAGCUACUGCUGCUAACCAAAAGGUUGGCAGUUGAGAUCCACCAGCUGUUCCUUGGAAACCCUAUGGGGGAGUUCUACUCUGUCCUGUAGGGUCGCUAUGAGUCAGAAUCAACUCGAUGGCAACAGGUUUGGUUUUUUGGUUUUAAUCUUUAUGGGAGCAGAUCACCACAUUUUGUGUCCCGAGGAGCAGCUGAUGAGUUCAAACCCUAACCUUUUAGUUAGGAGCUGAGCGCUUAACCAUUGCACUACCAGGGCUCCUUCAUUUAUCUCAUAACCCAUUGCCAUUGAGUUGAUUCUGAUUCACAGUGACCCUAAAGGACCGAAUAGGUCUGCUCUGUAGGGUUUCCAAGGCUCUAAUCUUUAUGAAAGCAGACUGCCACAUCUUUCUGCCAUGAAGCGGCUGGUGGGUUCAGACCACCAACCUUUUGGUUAACAGCCAAGCAUUUAAUCAUUGCACCACCAGGGCUCUUAUUUAUCUCAUACGUUUGCAGAAUGAGAUGAUACAUGUUUUAAGUACAUGUUGUUAAAUUAGAUACCGUACGUAAUAGCAUGAUAGCACAUUGAAAGAUAUGUUAAACUCUGAUUUAGAGCUUGUGGGAGCAGAGGGUGAGUUGGAAGCACUUGUAGGCCCCUCUGUGGUUGACUCCUGGCACUUGUGUGACAGUGAAGACACAUGUCUGGCCUCUUUGUGAUCACUUUUCCUCUUCUUAGGAGUUGUUGUUGUUAGGUGCCAUCAAGUUGAUUUUCAACUCAUCGGGACCCCAUUUGACAGAGUAGAACUGCCCCAUAGGGUUUUCAGAUUGUCCCAGAUUUUUCUCUUGUGGAGCUACUGGGUGAGUUCAAAUCACCAACCUUUAUGCUAGCAGCUGAUUGCAAACUGUUUAUUCCAACUAUGCUCCUUCAGUCAAGACUGUUGUCAUUAGGUGCUGUUGAGUCGAUUUCAACUCAUAGCGACCCUGUAGAACAGAGUACAACUGCCCCAUAGGGUUUCCAAGGAGUGACUGGUGGAUUUGAACUGCCGACCUUUUGGUUAGCAGCUAAGCUCUUAACCAUUGUGCCAUCAGGGCUCCAUACUUAGGGUCACCAGUUCACAUGUGUGCAGGGGCCAGGUAGGGUCCCAGUGUGAAGAUUAUGGGGAAGUUGGUAGAGUAUUGCCAGCCUCAUGGGGGGGGGGCACAGCUGUUGACUUGUGGAAGUGCCAGUCCACUGUCACCACAUCUUCCACUUUUUAAGAAAUGAGUUAGAAAUCCAAGUGGUGUAAAAUUUCCUGAUCUUUAAAUGUAGACAGAUUCUUCUGAUUAAAACACCAAAACAAUCAUACUGUUUGGCCCAGGAGCUGUCAGUUUUGUAACCUCUGCAUUAAAAGCAAACUUCUAGAUGUCUCCACCGAUGAGAUCUUGGAGGUUACUUUCUCCCUCCCCUGCCGUGUCGCCCACCUUUCAGCUUUGCCCUGACACCUGCUGUUUCCCCAGCUAAGAGCAAAGGAAAUCCGUCUUUUGUAUUAAGCUAAUGGUCCCCCUUUGUUCUGCCAACUGGGUCUCUGUCACUAUCACAGCACCCUCUUUCCUCUAAGUAUGCCUGCUCUCUUAGUCACUGAUGGCCCAGAAGGUACCAGGCUCUAUGUAGGGUUUUUUGCCUAUAAUUCCUUGUAAGGAUCCCUUUACCUAAUCCCUGCAUCAGGAGUUAGGUAACUCAGGUAACUGAGUCAGGUCUCUGGCCAAGGUCUGUCUGGACCUAAAGGCCACACCUGCCCUGAUCACCAUACUCCGCUGCCCUUCUCCAUGUUCACAGGUGGGCGUGGGUUGCCAGCUCCUCAGGGACCUUUUCUGAAAUUUAAUCAUCUAUCUGAUUACACCUUUCUUGAGGGUCUUUGACCCUCCUUGUCCUGUCCCUGUUGAGACUGGUGCGUCUCUCAACCCUCUGAGCAGAUGUGUCGUCUGGUUUAGCUUUAUGAAAUGAUCACUGUGCCUGUACCAGUGCCCAGGAACUGGAGCCAGGACGCCUGGGUUCCAGUCCCAGAUCUGCAGCUUCCCAACUGCAGUCCUGGGCAAGUUCCUUCACUUCUCUGGACCUCCGUUUCCUCACCUAUAAAACCAGGAUAGUAAAAGUAGGUAUCUCAUAGGUUAGUACGAGGAGUUGAUGCAAAGCAAAGAGUCUGGCACACAGCAGGAGCUCUAUAAAUGCUAACGAUCGUUAGUAAUGGGAUUGGGGUUAUUAGCCUGGCAGGAGCACCAUUUGUGCUUAUAGUGGAAUAUGCUCAGAAAACAAGUUUGUCUUUGGCAGUAAUCUUCUCUAGAAUAAUAGAAGAAGCAUCUGUCAUUUUGAAAACAGCCAGAACACUGCACCUUUGCUGGGCAGUCUUGGGUUUUUAGAGCACUUGAGGGGUGAAUUCAUGUUCCCUGCAGAUGUGCCCGGCUGCAGCAGUCCACCACCUUGAUUCCUCGGGUGUUAGAUGAAGCACAUGGGAACAGGCCAGACCUGGGAAUGCUGGAAUUGGGUGUGCGUAACCAACAAAAUAUUUUAUGAAAGUAGAUGCUGAGUAUGUGCUCUCUUGGUAAAUCACUGGUUGGAAGUACCUAUUUUAUUUUUCUCCAUUUUAUAUAUCACAUAGACUUUUGUGCAUAGAUGUGGAACAAAUUUGCCAAAUUGAAUAUUCCAUACAUAUAAAAUAAGCUAGUACCUCUCAGUGGUUAGAAGCACAGACCUUGAUGCCAGCCAGACAGGGCUCAUGUCCCAGCCCUACCCCUGAAGAACUAUGGGACUUGGAGUAAGUCACUUGUGUUCUGUAAGGUUCCAUUUUUCCAGCCAUAAACUGGCAGAUAGUAAUACUUACUUCCUAGGGUGGUUUUGAAGAUGAAAUGUCAGAAUGUAUGUAAGGUGCUCAGCUCAGUGCUGGCACAUUGUAAGUGCUCAAUAAAUAUUAGCUGAUAUGUAAAGUUGACAGCAGUAUGAAUUUGGGUCUCAGUUGUGGCACAAGUGAUAGUGAAGGGCAAUGUCUUCGUUAGCCAUGUGACCUUCUCCAGAGAGAGAUCAGCAUAAUGCAUUAGGUUGGAGCCGUGGUUUCCGACACUGUGUGCAUCAGAAUCCCAGGUGGAGCUUUUAGGACAGACCAAGGUCAACCCUGUCCCCAGGUUCAGUUGAUUAGUGGCUCAGGCACCCAGACAGUGGGUUGAGAACCUCUGAGCUAGAGCACAGUGACCCAUGGCUAAUGAGAUCAUGGUCAGUCUCUGCCUUUGGCAGUCCCCUUGACUGUGUUCCUGUCUGCACCUUAGUGUGGGCUAGCAUGAAGACACGCCAUUGGUCAAUAAAGGACAAGCUCAGAGCGCAAGUAUUCACACACUUCCCUCCCACCUCUCGGAAGAUUAUUCCCAGUAUAUAAUCGAUGCACAUACGGGUUUGGGUAAGAGAUGGGACCAAUACACCUUUUCCGUUCAUUGUUUACCCCUAAACUCCACACACAUAGAACCUGUUCCCAUAGAUUUUAUGAGUCAGGAGAAAUAUAGCCUUGUAAAAAUUGUGCUGAGCUUGUCAACACUUUGAUUUUCUUGGGAGAAAAAAAAAAAGAUUUUGCUUUCCUUUUCCACACAGCCUAUCAUAUGUUAUGCGCCUUUUUAGACCUUUCUCUUUCACUACAUUGGAAGCCCCUGUUGAAGAAUACGUAUGUUCUAUGCAUUUUUAAUUUCCCAACAGCUAACUCAUUGCCUUGCGCAUUGAAGGCAUAGAGUAAAAUUCCUGGUGAAUUGGGUUAACCAUGACAAAUCACUAACCAGUCAUCAAGAAAAGCUGUGCAAAUUUAUUCUACGGUGUUUAAGUUUUCUAAUCAAUAACAAAAAAAAAAGGUAUAAGAAUAAAUACGAUUGCCACAUUACACUUUUUAAAAUAAGCCCAGACUCUGUUUAGAAAACGUGUGGGAAUGGGCGAGGGAACACUUUGGUAUUGAUGCCAUUUAACCUCAAAUAGAGAAAACUUCAUCCUUUCACCUGUUUUGACAAAACUAGAGCUUGGGAAAAUCAUACCAUCCUUAAAUGAAGCUAAGCUAUCUAAAACUCGUGCUGAGGGGCCCAAGCAGCAAUAGGAAGGAGGGUAAACACAUGAACUGAAAGAUCUAGACUGGGUCAUCAGUUCCUUGUGUUUGAGAGUUGAUUGAAUAUGAAAAAUAAUCUUAUAUUAUCUCUAUGAGUUACAUCAACCAAUCUGAGCUACCAGUCUGUUAAGUAUUGUGGGGAAGACCACAAAAACAUAAGACGUUAAUUCGGCUGUAAUGAAGGUUGCUUCCAGACUCAGCUCUUUCUCAUGAGAUGCAAUACUGUGGCCUGCUGGUCAAUUCUGCUUGAAAGUCCUGCUUGUGUUCCAAAGUCCACAUACUAAACCUGAGCUCAGCAGCCUGAGCCCUUAACCAUUGUGCCACCAGGGCUGCAUACUAAACACAGUACAACUGUUUCUCAACAUGUUAGAGCUGGAAGGAACCUCAGAUACGAUCCCCUGGGUUUUGCUGAUACAACGUUUUUGUUCUAGCGAUUUCUUCUUUCCGCUGCCCUCAUGAAGCAAUUGGUAAUACUUGCUCUUUGAGUUCCCUUAGCACUGUGAUUGUACCUCUUUUUUAAGUUAAUCUAGCCAACAUUUAAAUUAAAUACUUAAAUUCAUCUAACCCAUACCUGCCUCGCCUACCCGAUUGUAAACUUCUUGAGAAAAAGAGAAGUUUGCUGAUCUUAAUGUCUCUUGUGUACUUUUCAGGUUUCUUUGCCGAUUGUGUUCAAUAAAUAUUUGAUGAAUGAACGAAUGAAUGAAAAAAAGAAAGAGAAAUAUGGACAAAGAUGAAUUAAUCUGUGCCAAAGUGUGCUUUGCAGACAAUACAUUUUAUAGAAUUUGUAUUUUCAUACCUCUUCUGUAGCCCUUCUAGAAUAUGCCACUUUCGCUUUGAUUGACUCAAACCUUGAAGAGAGUCAAAACCUUUGCUGUCACUUGUAAUACUUUAAAGCAGUUGAAAUCUGUGGUGAGAAAUAGUAGGAAAAUUCACCAACCUCUUGGCUCUCAGAUAGACUUAGCCUGCAGACCAAACUCCCUCUUUGUUUAUCGAUUUAUCUAGUGCCUUUACUUUAGCCACUCACCUGAAGGGAUCCCAUAUUUCAGCCACCCACAACCAAUACUCAGGAAGAAUGGCGGAAGAGAGCAGACCCCAUCUCAGCUGAUAUGUCCUCCAUUGUGUCUGCCCUCAUUUCCUUUCAGCAAGGAAGUUCUUCCCCUUCAUAGCAUGCACAGCCCUCCUUCCUGCUGUGUCAGGCCCCAAAGCAAGAGCCACCCAGGAGGGAGGACCCAGCAGGUGCCUGGGCCUUGUCAAGGUAACAGCUGAUAGCUUGAAGGGGUCAUCCAUCAUUCUCACCCACAUGGCCACUUAGCUCCCAGCCCUGCUCACACCCCUCCCACCCCUGCCAGAGGCCCUCUCUCCCUUUAGCCUGCCUCUGCCUUAUCUCCUUGUCACAAUCAGGAAAAGGGCCAGCCAGCCCAAGCCUUCUGAGCAGUGACAAGGUUCUGGUUCAUUAGCAGUAGACAACAUGCCAGGGAGUGGUGUGCAGAUGGACCCACCUGACAGGUAGAGCAGGUGAUUCAGCUCCAGGAAGCUCACUCUGUGCCGCUGCUCUUGGAAGGCUUGCUGCUGCGGCAUCUCCUCGUGGGAGCCACACUCUGCCCGCCCCACCCUCUACCAACACCCCCAACACAGGGGAGCCCCGCGGCCCCUCAUCCACGGGUAAGGUGAUACAGGCGAGAAACGCUAGAGAACACACUGCAGACCUGAGGUGAGGGCUCGAGUUCGUCCCUUUAUCCCUACCGCUUUCAGCCUCCCCCCAAAUAAAUAAAUAUGAGGAAUUUAGAACCAUGAAAACUCAGCCAAGAAGAAAUUCCAAUGUAUCUGGUAUGUCAAAUCCCUGCUCCUCUCCCUCAGCAGGAACAAAGACUGCAUGCAUAUCACCUAUCAAGCGGGCAUAGCAGCGAGGUACUGCCAGCCAUUCUGAGUCUUCGGGUUAUUUGGGGAGGAAAUUCCUGAAAAACAGCUAAUAGGAAAAUGUUUGAUUCCAUUUUAUUCAGGCUCAGACUAAAUGUCUUAUGACACUGCAGGGCUGGGAGAAGCCCUGGGGACAGGGAGUGCCUGAAGGGCCCGGUGCUGAGGAGGAAAGGGCUAUGUUCUCUGACUUGGUGCCAUUUAUCAUACGCAAUUAAUGGUGGCCCCUCAGGGCAGCAGGCGACUGGGCACACAGUCCCUCGG